GAACAAUAUAUCCAGGUAAGCAUCAUGGAACACAGUGUGACAGGCCAGAGGAGCCACAUGUGCCAAGUUGAUGGUGUGUAUGGUUUAGAGGCGAAAGAGGCAAAUCCAAGGCGGAGAUGAUAAAUAGACUCGGGUGUGGUUAGGUGCGUUAGAUGCACCACAUAGGGUGAUUCUUCUUUCCUUCUCAGUGAUUUUUCAUAUAAGCUGUCACUAGAUUUGUCCAUUGUGCCAUAGAUGUAAUCAUAAAAUGGCAUAAACAACGAGUAAUUGGUUCUAAACUGUACGUGGUGCAGCGAGUGAAACCUGUCCAGUAUUCACAAAAUAUAUUCAUACUCUUACAAGGUGUUAUUAUCAUUAAUUAUUAUGCUUAAGGAAAGCAGGCUAAUUAAAUAAUUAAUAGUGAUUAAUAUUUUAAAAAUAAUCUAAAAUUAAAGAAAUAAAAAAGAAAACCUUAAAUUAACAAAAAAAAAAGAAGAAAAACGGCAGAACUUUAUCGCUAAAACUAAAUAAAAACUUUAAAAAGUAAAAACGAAAAUCAAAUUAAAACUACAAACUAAAAAUAAAUAAAUAAAAAGACUUUGACUAGGGGUGAGCAAAACUUGAUUCGACUCGAAAAAAUCGAAAAAAAAUUCGAAUUUCGAGUUAAACUAAUUGAGUUAUUCGAGUUAAUCGAGUUAUUCGAAUCAACUCGAAUUUUUUUUCGAAUUUCGAGUUUGAAUCGAGUUGAGUUUUCGAAUUCGAGUUAUUCUGUAGUAAUUUUAAUUUUACUUUAAAUAAACCUACAUAAAUAUACUUAAUCUUUGGUUGCCUUCAAAAUACUUGUAUCUUAACCCAGAUAGAAUAAAAUUGUGGACAACAAAUAUUUUUACCCAAAUUAUCUUAUUUGUUUAUAAUUUGCUUGUAGCAUACACUGUAAUUGAUAAGAUAGCAAGUAUAAUGCAUGAAUAAAAUAAAAAUAUUAUCAUAAUACUCCUGUCUUAAAGCAAGACAGUCUUCACAAAAUAAAGUAUCGUAGGUAGGCAUUUAAUUUAAAAUUAUUUAAUUGAGUUAGAGUGAAAGGAAGGGCUUACGAUGGAGUAUAAAUGAUGUAUUGAGAGGAGGGAGAAGGGUGAAGAGCCAUUAGGAAUAAGCUCGAAAUUGCAGUGGCCCAUAUUGUUCAUAAAGUCCAGGUAAGUGACGUAGGCAGCUAAGGCAAUAACGGAGACGGUACCAGUUAGCACCGUUGUCAAGAUGGGUAUUGAAAAAGGAGGAAGUAUGCUAUGGCUCUGCAAAUGGAUGAAUCACAGCUGCCACAGCCACAGAUGGUUCAGUACCAUAACCAUGUGGAUUGAUGAUUAAAUUACGUACGUAGGUGAUGAAGUCUUACAAGUCGAGAGUAAAGAUAAUGGUGAUGCAGUGCUCUAUGAAGCCAGUAGUAAAGGAACUCCACAGGGCCGGCAUGGAGCAACAUGGUUAUAAUCACACCAUCCAAUCUCCAAAAGGGUAAGUGUGAACCUCCUGGAACGUAGAUGUUGCCCAAGUAAAACAGGAUUGCGUUGAACAUUAUUUGAUCAUCCCUGCAUGCAGCCAUUAAUUAAUUAAUUGUCGUCAUUGGGUAAUUAAAAAAAAAAAAGAUUUUUUGUUGCUCAUAAAAUAAAAAUAUUAUCAUAAUACUCCUGUUCUUAAAGCAAGACAGUCUUCACAAAAUAAAGUAUCGUAGGUAGGCAUUUAAUUUAAAAUUAUUUAAUUGAGUUAGAGUGAAAGGAAGGGCUUACGAUGGAGUAUAAAUGAUGUACUUGAGAGGAGGGAGAAGGGUGAAGAGCCAGUUAGGAAUAAGCUCGAAAUUGCAGUGGCCCAUAUUGUUCAUAAAGUCCAGGUAAGUGACGUAGGCAGCUAAGGCAAUAACGGAGACGGUACCAGUUAGCACCGUUGUCAAGAUGGGUAUUGAAAACAGGAGGAAGUAUGCUAUGUGCUCUGCAAAUGGAUGAAUCACAGCUGCCACAGCCACAGAUGGUUCAGUACCAUAUAACCAUGUGGAUUGAUUGAUUAAAUUACGUACGUAGGUGAUGAAGUCUUACAAGUAAUAGGCUCAGUGACAAUGGAGGAAUGAUGAUGAGAAUGGUAUCGAGAGUAAAGAUAAUGGUGAUGCAGUGCUCUAUGAAGCCAGUAGUAAAGGAACUCCACAGGGCCGGCAUGGAGCAACAUGGUUAUAAUCACACCAUCCAAUCUCCAAAAGGGUAAGUGUGAACCUCCUGGAACGUAGAUGUUGCCCAAGUAAAACAGGAUUGCGUUGAACAUUAUUUGAUCAUCCCUGCAUGCAGCCAUUAAUUAAUUAAUUGUCGUCAUUGGGUAAUUAAAAAAAAAAAAGAUUUUUUGUUGCUCACCAGUCCCUCUCCCUGUCCACUUGGUCAAAUUCAAUGCCCUUGUCCACAAUCUUGUUGGUGCCUUUGGCAGUUCGAUAACGAGAAAGGCUAAUCCAUAGUUGGUUAUGAAGCAUUCUCCAUAACACAAAUGGGAAUAAGGCCAGCUUGGACACGUCUAUAUCUUCAUCCUUCACCAUAAACGAGUAUAUGUGCUCCGUUAUCAAAGGAACUAGGAUUAUAUACUGUAAAAAUCCAUCAAACCACAAAUUAAAAUUUUUAAAAAAAAGAACUGGUAAAAUUAAAAAAUGAAAUCAACAAGACCUUAAAGCUCCCAAGAGGCUUCCAUGGCCAGUCAGUGAGGAUUCCUGGUUUAGAAGCCAUGCUUAAGUAGCUAUAUAGCAUCUACACUUGCAAAUGUCUUUGGAAGUGGAUAUUAUAUAUAGUAUUGUGAGUGUAAAGUUUUUACCCUUACAGAUUGACACGUUAUGGUGGCCCUUUCUUUAUCAAGAUUUAAGUCAUCCGAUCGACAACUCAUCCAUUUAUUGUGCCCAACUGUAAGUCUCAGCUGCUCCUGCUUUAUCAAUUAAAUGGAGACCUAAUAUGUUGUUAAUCUUAAUAUUGCUAAUUUUUUCUGUCUAACAUAAAUUUUCCGAAGCUCGGAGCAGUGGCAAUUAAGUGAUAAUUUAGUUAUAAUUUGAUUAAGUCAGAAAUAGAAGAUUAUCAGUAUUAUAAGACAAUGAAAACAGAUACUGAAGGCAACGGGAAAAGUCUUUGCUUUGAGAAAAAAAUAAAUCCGGAAUAUCGACUAAAUUGCAAAAGGGUGAAAAAAAAGGGUCUAAAGUGAGAAAAUUAAAAGAUAGAAUAAUUAAAUUGAAUUAUGGAAAGAGGAGGGACUAGAGGUGCAAAUAAACCAAAAAGAAGUAUGAAUCAUACAUGAAAUUUGUAGAUUUAAUUUAUUCCACUGUAACUUCAGGGAGAUAAGACUUGCUAUGGUAGAUUUAAUCCGACCUACUGCAACUUCAGAGGUAUAGGACUUGUCGUUUCAAUCUGCUCCACUGCAACUUCAGGAAGAUAAGAUUUGUAAUUUGUAGCUUUAAUUUGUUCCACUGCAACUUUCAGGGAAAUAAGAUUUGUGACUUCAAUCUACUCCACUGCAACUUUAGAGAGAUAAGAUUCACCAUGGUAACUUCAAUCCAUCCCACUGCAACUUCAGGGGUAUAGAAUUUGUGGUUUCACUGAUUUGUUACAUUGUUCUCUAGGGAACAUGACAUAUAGAAUCCAUUUCAUGGGCUUAUAUUUAUGCCAAACGGUUAGGAUGUUAUGAUCAAAAUGAAUCAAAUACUCCUAAUAACUAGAUAGGUGAAUUGAUAUAGUUUUAAAUAUGGAAUGGGUAGUUAAAAAUGCAAAGUAGAUAGGUGAAUUGAUAUAGUUUUAAAUGAUGAAGCAAAUAGGACUAAAUGGACAAAAGGUGAAAGACUAAUUGGGCAAAUUAACCCAAACUGAAAAGAAAUCACAUAAUGACAUUUUGGUAUUGAAAUCAAAGGUCGAGUAUCGAUACUUUGAAAAAAGUAUAGAUACUUAGAGCAAAGUAUCGAUAUUUGAGGUAUUUUUCUUAAAUUUUUCAACUUUGAAGCUCAAAACGAUGUCAAUACAACAUAGGGCAUCGAUACCUAAGUUAUAGUAUGGAUACCUUAGUGGUGGUAUCGAUACUUGGGGAUUGUUUUGUGUAAAAUGUGAUUCUGAAAUAAAUUUUUACAGAACAGUUCUACGUAUUAUGGAAAUAACACACUAAUAAGUUCAAAAUAUGAUUGGAUAAGGGUUUGGAUUAAAUGAUUUAGCCAGGAUUACUCCGGCACUCAAAUGUCAUAUUUCUAUACUCAACUUGGUAGUCGGGUUGGGUAUAGGAGUAUUAGAUGGAAAUUCGAUAAAAAAUAAAAAUAUUAAAAAAAAUAUUUUCUCAGCAUAAACUCUGUUGCUAAUUGCAAUUAGUUGUAAACAUCUGAAAAAAAAAAAGAAGCUUUCCAUGUCGGCUAAGCCAGCACGAUCGCAAUUAAUUGUCUCCAAACUCCAGUUCUAUGGAACACAAAACAAUUGCAAUUGCUUUCUUUAACACAAGUUGCGUUUGAAAUAUUAAUUGUUGGUUUCCAGUUCCGCGGUGGUAUUGAUUACCAAUGAACAAGAUAAGAUGGUCCAAAAAAAAACAGAAAGGAAAGGAAUAUAUCCCCCGCACCAAACACAAAAUAAGCUUUUCAUUGCUCAUAUUAUUUGUUAUCCAGAUGCUGGUUUCCUCGACACUUAGCUUAGCUCCUCAAAUUUCAACCCCCUCCCCAGAGCUUUAAACACACAAGUUGAAGCAUAGAGCCUAUUGUUUGUAAUCGCGGUAUGGUACGAGAAGUAAAACAGCAAAAAAUAAUUAAAAUUGGAAGUUCCUUUUUUUUUUUUAAAUUGACAAUAUUUUUGAAUUUUUAAGUAUUAAUUUUAAAAAAUUAUAACUUGAUUCAUAUAAUAUCUAAAAGUUAAUACCUUUACACAUUUAAUGACAUUUUAAGGAAAUGGAAAAAGAAUUAUAAUUAAAUAACCAAAGUUAAGGUCAAUAGUUAAUUGAUCUAAAUUUAAAAAGAAAAUGAUAAAUAGGUGAUAAAAAAGAAUUAGAUGACUUGUCGUCUCGUUUACGCUAAACAAAUUUAAUACUCCGUAGACAUUUUUUUUGCGUUUAGAAUAACAUUUUACUUUUUAAGAUUUGUGUUUUUCUAUGAGAACUUUUGAUCUAUUUCUUUACCACUUAUUUGACAAUGCAACGGGCAAUUUACCAUUAAAAGUUUUUUUUUAAUUUACCGAAAUAGAUCCGGUAUUUUAUUAUUUACCGAAAUAGACCCUGUAUUUUAUUAUUUAUUGGAAUUGGCCCAUUCCGGUAUUUUAUUAUUUAAUGUAUUAAAGCCUUUACCACGUCAGCGCAAUGUCAGGGGACGUCUCAGCAAAUCGCGUCCACGUCAGCGCUGUUUGCUGACGUGGCAGAAAAUCGCGUCCACGUAAUCGCGGUUUGUGUCUACGUCAGCAAAGCGCGCUGACGUGGACGCGAUUUGCCCCGCGUGUGAACAGUGCAACGGUCAUUUUUUUUACCGUUGCCCCCCCAACGGUCCAAAAAAAACUAUAAAUACCCCCACCUCUUUUUUUUCACAAACUAAUCCUCUCUCAAAUUUCCUCUAAAUUUCCUCUCAUUUUGCUCUCAAAUUCCUUUCAAAUUUCUCUCAAAUCCAUAUUUAAUCUCAUUUGCUCUCAACUUCCUCUUAAAUUUCUCUUAAAUCCCUAUUUUUAAAUAUUUUUAAAAAAAAUUAUUGUUUUUAAAUUUUUUUAAACCGUAAAAAUUUGUACGAUUUCAGCAAUGGCCGGAGAAUUGACUCGUCUUGAUAAGCAGCAUAUAUCGGUGGAACAAAUGAAAAUGGUAAGUGUAAUACCCAAUUUUAGCCCGGGCUCACAUAUGGAAACAUAAUUUUCGAGGAUAUACAAUCUUAGAUAUGAUAUGCAAUCUUAAAUAUGAUAUAUACAAUCUUAGAAGAUAUGAUUUUAUAAUCUUAGAGAUUUAAUUUGUAGAUACCCUUUAAUCUUAGCCGUUAAUGUAAUUGAUCUGUACCGUUGGAUUUGGGGAGGCUCAGCUAUAAAUAGAGGCCUCUCCCUUCAUUGUAGAAAGAAAAAAGAAUCAAGAAAAAAGGAAGAACGAUUGGCAGUUUUUUAAAGGUGGCUUACUGUUUUAUUUUUUUUCUUUUUCGAUUAUUUUUUACUUAUUUACGAUUUUAAAAAAGGGUGAAGGUGAUACCAAUGCUAAUUUUAUUUAUUUAUUUUAUUUAGCCCUAAUAAAGUGACGCGUUUCAAAGGAUGGAAAUAUUUUCUCAUUCAAGCCCUAUGAGUUAUUUGCGCCUUUUAAUUGGGCCCUUCAUUAUUUUUAUUCUGUUGAUUUUCAAUUUAAUCCUUAAUCUUUCAUUUUAGGUUUUUAGUCUAUUUUAUUAAUUUUGUUAUUUUUAUUUUUAUUAUAUUAUAUAUUAUUAUUAUACCUACAUAUAUGUGCGCAUAUGCAUGUUAAUAUAUAUACAUAUAUAUAUUUUAAACGUUUUAAUAUAUAUACAUAUUAUAUACAUACUUUAUUAUUAUUUUAUUUUCAUAUUUUUUUAUACAUAUAUAUAUACACAUUUAUAUUUCAUAAUAUUUAUGCGUUUGCCCAUAUUCUAUGAUUUUUAUAUGUUUAUACAUUUUUGUAAUAUAUACACAUAUUUAUACUCCAUUCAAAGCUUAUUAUAAAUAUUUUCCACAUUUUUAUAUUAUACUUAUAUAUUUCAUUUUUUUUGCAAAUGCAUGAAUAUAUUUUAUAUGUAUAUAUUUAUAUUUUCCUUGUUUUCAUAAAUGCAUUAUGUAUUAUAUAUAUAUAUAUAUAAGUUUUAUAACCCAAAAUUUUAUGAGUAAAUUAUCUUUAUGUCUUUUAUUCUUCAUAGUUUCAAAUGUAUAUCUAUUUUGUACCUUUUUCUCUUUAUUUUUUUUAUUUAUUUCCUUCAUUUGCUUAUCGAUGUAUGUUUUCAUUUAUAUUCAUUUGAUAUUUUACAUGUCGUUGUUUAUGUACAUUAAUUUCGUUUAUUUCUAUGUCAUUGUUGUAUUUAUUAUUACAUUUUAUAUUUAAUGUAGCAUCACAUCAUUUUUUUUCGAUUUUAAAAUUUUCAAAAUUGAGAUAACACUCGUAUUUAGGAUUUUCAAGGAAAUUGAGCCCUAACGUAUUAGGUUCCGAUUUUCUUCGUUAAAUCCAACGAUCGAGGGUUGCUCAUUAAUAAAAAAUAUAUAAAAUAAAAAGCUUGUUGUUGGGGAGUUAAAUAUGUUGUAUCCUAACGUAUUGGAUGUGACGUAUUGAUUUCUCGAGACAAAGAUUUUUUGAAAAAAUAAUAAUAAAGGAAAUAUUUCAAGUUUGGGAUUUUGAGGAAUUGUGCCCUAACGUAUUGGGCCGCGAUUUCUUAAAUCUUAAACAAAUGAAUAUUCUUUUAAAUUUUUAUUACACGAGUUUUAGACUAAUUCAUUUUUGAGGAAAUUAAAAUGUUGUGCCCUAACGCAUUGGGUGUGACAUUUUCUUUCUCCGAAAUGAUAAGGGUCUUAAUAAGUAACGUUUUUAAGUUUUUUUCUAAGGAUUAUAUUUUUCAAAUUUUCGACAUUAAGACACUAAUUAAUUAACUAGGUACCAAUUUUGGGCGUUAUGAGGGUGCUAAUCAUUCCUCGUACGUAACCGACUCUCGGAUCCAUUUUUCUAAAACUCGUAGACCAAAACCGUUUUUUUAGGUGAUCCAAUCACACCUCAAUAAAAGAUUGGUGGCGACUCCCAAUUUUCAAUUUUUUAAAGUCGACAACGUAAAACGUUUGUUUUUCAAAAGAAUGGUUUCGACAGUAAGCGUUAAAUUUAAUUUUUAAAUAUUAUUUAAGAAUUUUUUAAUUAUGCAUUUUUAGAUAAUUAUUAAUUUAUUAUUUGUUAUAAAAGUCUGUAGAUCAAAUAUUGGAAUGCAAUAUCCGGAAUAUGCAUGCUCCUCCAUCACCGUUUGUAGAGAACUACCUGCGGGAAGCGGGUUUUUGGCACGUGGAGACGGUAGGCCGGGGAUGCAAGGUGGACCCGAAACUAAUUAGUGCAUUGAUCGAGAGGUGGAGACCCGAGACGCACACAUUCCAUUUUCCAUGUGGAGAGUGCACUAUCACUUUGGAAGAUGUAAGUCUGCAAUUGGAAUUUCCGGUGGACGGUACCCAGUCACUGGGUCUGCCUAAUCUAGCGAUUGAGGAGCGGUGUGCUACGAGCUUUUGGGUGCUAUUCCGGAGAAAAUGGACGGAGGUAAGAUCGAGAUGGGCUUGUUACAAGACACAUUCCUGGAUCCGGAUGAAGAUUCAACCGAAAUAGAAAGAAUCUGAUAUGCUCGGGCAUACAUUCUUCAGUUAAUUGGAGGUUAUCUGAUGCCGGACUCGUCACGAAGCCGCGUACUUCUAAGAUGGCUGCUGAAACUCGUUGAUUUUAGAACAGCUGGUGAAUUGAGUUGGGGGUCUGCCAUCUUGGCAACGUUAUAUCGGGAGAUGUGCGGGGCGACGCGACCGAGGAAAGCAAAAAUCGGAGGUUUCCUAUCACUACUGCAGUCAUGGGCACGGUUUUGCUACGUCCUCGAGUGGACCACCCAUAUAAAUUCCCACUCAUAACGAGGUAAAUCCGGAUGAGUUCUUACAAAAUUCAAACGCUUGGCACACAAAAGUCGCGUUGAUCAACUACGCGACCGUGGAGAUGCACCAGUCAGACAGGGUGUUACGGCAAUUUGGAUGUAGACGACCGAUUCCUGUGGAACCUGAGGUGUUUGACGAUCACCACAAAAUUGACCUUCGGCAAUUGAAUACGGAUUGGCCGAGAUUUUGGUCCGAGUACAUCCAAAUGUGGGAAGAUCGGUAUGAUUAUAUACCUACUAAGGAAUCGAUCAUCGUUCCGGAGUUAGCGUGCGUGCCGAAAUGCAUGCCAUUCAAAUGAUGCCAGGUACGUUUUCUAGCCCUUUUAUGUAUCCUAACCCUUAUAUGUUUCCUUUUCCGAGUCCUAUGGCAGGUUGGAGCCAAUGACCAGGUUCAACUCCAUUUCUUGUUACGCCGAGUGGACCGCCGAUGUAUAGGCCAGUGACGUAUGAGGGAUCGCCAGAAGGGCCGUCGGGGAGCUCUUCUUUUUGCCAAUCCCCACCACCGUAUAGGUUUCAAACAUCGUCACCGUUGGUGAUGGAAACACCUCCACAUUCACUAUUCUAUCAAGGUGGCUCAUCGUCCCAACUCUGACAACCAGAUGCCCUGCCGGAAGAAACAGGAUCCCCGCCGGAGGAACCAUAAUCGCUGCCGGAAGCUGGACAAAUAGAAAUUUGUAUUUAAAUUUAUUUUUACAAAUAUUUUGAAUAUUUUGAUAUUAUUUGAUGUAAUAAAAUAGAAAUUUGUUUGAGUUAAUACUUAAAAACAUUAAACUAAUUUAUUAAAAAUUUAUAAAUUUAUAAUUUAUAAGGCAGACGGGAAGGACAACCCUGAAACCCUGGAACAGAAACAACGCAACCCGAACCCGAACGGACAAACCCGAACGCGGAACUUAAAAAACCCUACACCCUUAACGUGAACUACCGAACCCUGGGUGGAUCAAAAAAAAGACCGCACCCUGAACGUUAAAAACUUAACCCGUAACUUCAAAACCCUAAACCUUAACUUAAAUAACCCGAAACCUUAACCCGAAACUCCUAACCUUGAAAUUUAAAAAUUUAAACCCUCAAACCCUAAUCCAUAAAUUAAAACUUAUAACCAUUAACAUAAAAACCUUAAACCCUUAACAUAAAAACCUUAAACCCUUAAAUUAAAAGCCCUAACCCUCAACUUUAAAACUCUAAACCCUUAAAUUAAAAACCCUAAGCACUUAACUUUAAAACCCUAAACCCUUAACCUAAAAAACGUAACCCUUAACUUAAAAACCAUAAACCUUUAAAUUAAAAAAUAAAAACCUUUAAUUAAAAAUUCUAAACCUUAAAACCAUAAACCCUUAAAUUAAAAACCUUAAGCCCUAAAACUUUAAAACCCUAAAUCCAUAAAUUAAAAACCCUAACUUUUAACUUAAAAACCUUACACCCUUAACUUAAAAACUCUAAACCCUUAAAUUAAAAACCCUAACCCUUAACUUUAAAACCCUAAACCCUUAAUUUAAAAACUGUAACCCUUAAAUUAAAAACACUAACACUUAACUUUAAAACAUUAAACCCUUAACUUAAAAAUCGUAACCCUUAAAUUAAAAACUCUAACCUUUAACUUUAAAACCCUAAACCCUUAACUUAAAAAUCAUUUCUCUUAAAUUAAAAACCCUAAACCCUUAACUUUAAAAUCGUAACCCUUAAAUAAAAAACCCUGUCACUUAACUUAAAAACCCUAGCCCUUAACUUAAAUAUAAUUUAAUAAUUUUACUAACCAUUAAUACAAUUAUCAGCUAAUAAUUUUACAUUCACAUAACGUUAGAUUUGGAAAAAUGUUUUGACUGGUACUAACAAUUAAUAAUUUGAUAUAAUUUGAUAAUUUUACUAACAAUUAAUACAAUUAUCAAUUAAUAAUUGAAAAAAUAUAUUUUUUUUACAAUUACAUUCAACUAUUGAGAUUAGGGCAUGAUCGACUUGUAUGGCCUGGAUUCCUACACCAUCCGCACAACUUUUGUUGACUGGUUGUUUCUCGGAUAUCCAUAUUGUUGCGUAUUCUAGUCGAGCAAGGUUGACCCUUUGGUUUGUGACACAAUUCUCUAUCCGGUAACAGCUUAAAAGGGGCAAGAGAUACGGGCGGCCACUUACGUUCAUCUGGGAUCGGUGGGAAAACGUGUCUCCAGACCUUGUACAUGUUUUCUAAUUUGUACACUUUGUCCACAUAGCUCAUCGGAUCCAGACGGAGAUUCUGAGAAGCUGCAAUAACAUGAGUGCAUGGAUAACGAAGUGCAUCAAACAUCCCACAGUCGUAAGUCCUAUUUCGCAAGUGUACACGAUAUUGCCCGCCAACAACACAUUGGUGCGGUCUGUCAAACUCUGCCACGCGAAACCAUAAGUUGUCUCAAUCGUGACAUACUGUGUGCAUGGUGUUUGCCCGCGUCUUGGCCUUGUUAAUUUCUUGAACUACCUUACUGCACCAUACAUGGCCUCCCUGCAUCUGGCCUGCAUAACUUGCUGCUCGCUUUGGAAAUAACGCUGCCAAAUGAAAAUAUGUCUCUCGCACAACUGAUGUUAUCGGUAGAUGACGUGUUUCUUUAAGGACAGAAUUUAUGCAUUCAACCAGGUUUGACGUCAUAUGGCCAUAUCGUAGGCCGCCGUCGUAUGCUUGUGCCCACUGUUUGAAACGUAUGUUACAAAGGUAGUCCGCUCCGUCUCCGUUAAUUAAACGUAAAAUUGCAAACAUCUCGUGAAAACGGUCUUUAUUUAUUUCAUACACUGCUAAUAUAAGUUCAUAGCGAAUAUUACAUACCACUUCUUCAUUUAUAACUAAUUCAAAUUGACAAACGAAAGAACACAGAUAGAGACUAAAUACCUAUGUUGGUCACUUGUCAUCGUUCGCUCUUAGAUGGAUAUUGCCUGUAGUAGUUGGAAGCAACGUGCCUUAGGCAAUAUCGAUGGUGUGUGCGCCGUCAUAAGCUUCUCUGUCGAUCAAAUACAGCUAGUAUACCGGUGCCCCGAUCUAAAAUAACACAGAUAUCAGGUUGAGGGCACAUAUGCCUCCUUAACCUAGAGAGAAAGAAAUUUCAGUCAUCAGAUGACUCCCCCGGUGUUAUUGCAAAUGCAAUUGGAAGAAUUCUCCCACCGUCAUCCUGUGCCACUGUAAGAAAUAGCCGAUGAGUAUACCUACCAAACAUAAAGGUACCGUCAAUUUAUACCAAUGGCUUGCACUAUGGAAAUACGUCUCGGCAUUGGUUAAAGGUCCAAAACAGGUGUUUGAACACUCGGCAUCCACGUAGCAAUCGGCCGUUGUAGUACGCAUGUUCCGUUUCAAAGUCUGUGAUGGCACCUGGGACGUAUCUCUCUAACACUUAACACCACUGCCAUAUUUCAUUAUAUGAGGCAUCCCAUCCACUAUGCAUCUUCUCCAACGUCUUUGGCUUAGCUAUCCAAGCCUUGCGGUAAGAGGGCGUGUACCCCAUUUGGCUACGGAUAUUGGCAAUUAACACUAGCACUGAAGUCUUGGGAUCUACUUUUAUCGUGGGCAGUAUCAAGCUAGCUAACAUAGCUGAAUCCAUCUUGGGAUGAUCUUGUGAAAUAUCUAUAAACGGAGUACAUUAAAUAAUGCAACAUUACAUAAUAAAAGUAUUAUUCAGAAACUGUCAAUACUGUACCUACAGCACAUGUAUGUGGACCUUUGUACUUUUUAAUCUCCCAUAACCCUGUCCUUUUCCUUAACGAGGCGUAGAUUUUCCAUGAACAUGUGCAGUCUUGCACCGCACACUUCGCCUCAAACUUAUCAGAUUUGGAUUUAACGACGUGGUAGUUAACGCCUUUUUUGAUGCUAUGUUGUUUCAAAGCACCAAUAAAACUAUCCUUGUUGGUAAACUGAUUACCAACUUCAAAUUCACCCGAAUCUAGCCCUGAACUUGUACGAUCACGCAACCGGUGUGGUAGAUCUGGAAACUCUAAUGCAUCAUCUGUAGAUAGAUCGACAUUAUGCAUGUGGGCUGGAGGUGAGUAUGCUCAGAAUCGUGGAUUUUCUUCUUCAUCUAAACUUCUUUCAGCAUCUUCAGGUUCAGCACCAUCGUGCCCGGGAUUUCGAGGUGGAUCCACAUCGGAGUCAUCUUCUAACCCAUAAUCAUCUGCAACGUAUGAGGUCCCCUUACCGGUUGACGUCGUAGGGAGUACAUCAUCCCUUAUUCUAGGCAUUUCAUAACGUCCCCAAUUGGAUGUAGAUGGUCAACCACUAGAACUUGAUGCCGUUCCCCAGUACGUAUUUUCAGCAUCAAACAUCGAGCCACUGAAGUACAUGUCUCAUGUUUUGUAACCCGCUAAUCGAAUGUCGGCCAAGAGUCGUGUAUACAUCUCGAACACCAGUCGCAAGUACAUCAGUUGGUGAUGUAAAUUGUACAUAUAACUCAAUAUAAUGUGCUUCACUUGCAAGACGAGUCUGCACCAUUGUCCCCAAGCUACGAGCACCUUUUAUGUCGAACGAGUCAUAUGUCAUCGGAUCAACAGAAGAACAAAAUCAAUACGUAAUAGACAGAACUUUCCUUGGCGUCGUUCCAAAAAUUUUAUGCCUAAUUCUUUUACGAAGUUCUGUCAAAUCUAUGUUCUGGUUAAAAACCAGUCGUACCGUAUUCUCCAACAAAAAAACAACACCAUUCUCGAUAUGGUAAACCUCACCAUCGUAGUAAAUAACAGUACUAAUAUGUUCACUCAUAUUUGAAACUCUAACCUUCUUAGCCUCUCUAAAUUGUUUAUGCUGUGACUUAUGCAUUCUGAGAACAUUUUUUGCCUCAUUUAUAGCCUCAGCCCAAACAUGCUAUUAUAGCCAAAGCGUGACCACGUGGGUGCGAUUUCACAAAUUCUUCUCAUAUAGCAUCCUGCUAGAAGUGAUUUUAUACUAUUUUCUCAGAAACGUCAAGUCGAAAUUAUUCUUCUAGGACCUACUGUAGCAAAAGUGCGUCCACAAGGGCGCGAUUUCACAAAUUCUUCUCAAAUAGCAUCCUACUUGCAGCGUUGUUUUAUACUAUUUGCUCAGAAACGUUAAGUCGAAAUUAUUCUUCCAGGACCUACUGCAGCAAAAGCGUGUCCACGUGGGCAUGAUUUCACAAAUUCUUCUCAAAUAGCAUCUUUCUUGCAACGUUGUUUUAUACUAUUUGCUCAGAAACGUCAACUCAAAAUUAUUUUUUUCAGGACCUACUGUAGCAAAAGUGCGUCCAUGUGGGCGCGAUUUCAAAAAUUCUUCUCAUAAAGCAUCCUGCUUGAAGCAUUUUUUUAAACUAUUUGCUCAGAAACGUCAACUCGAAAUUAUUUCUUCUAGGACCAACUGUAGCAAAAGCGCGUCCACGAGGGCGCGAUUUCACAAAUUCUUCUCAUAAAGCAUCCUACUUGAAGCGUUUUUUAAACUAUUUACUGAGAAACGUCAACUCGAAAUUAUUUUUCCAGGACCUAAUGUAACAAAAGAGCGUACACAUGGGCGCGACUUCAAAAAUCCUUCUGAUAAAUCAUCCUGCUUUGAUUUUAUCUUAAAAACCCAUAAACACGAAACGUAAUCCAAUUUUGAAUAUAUUUUAUUUUAUUUAAUUACAAAACCCUAAACUUUAAUCCCUUAUUUAUUUACUUUUUUCUCCAAAACCCUAAAAAUCUUAACCCGAGAAACACGACAAAAUCACGUCCACAUGGGCGCGCUACCUGGCAGCAAAUCGCGUCUACGUCAGUGCGCUUUGCUGAUGUAGACAUAAAGCGCGCUUACGUGGACGCAAUUUGCUGCCACAUCAGCAAAUCAUGCUGACGUGGACGCAAUUUGUUGACACAUCCCCUCACAUCGCGCUGAUGUGGACGCGAUUUAAAGGAAAAUGGCCCAUUCCGGUAAAUAAUAAAAUAUCUGGCCCAUUUGGGUAAAUUUAAAAAAAAUGGAUUUUUUGGUAUUUUUCCCCAAUGCAUCAAUUGUAAAAUAAAUAUGAAAUAAAAUUCAAUAAAUUAGGAUUUAUGAUGUCAAAUUAUUAAGAACAAAUUAAGAAUAAAAUUAGAUGCGAAAGUACUUGAUAUCUAUGGAUCUUGUGGUUUUGAUCUUUCAAAUUAGCACACAAGUACUUUAGAGAAUGUGACUUUCUCUUUUCUAAAGAUGAGAUAUUAAAAAAGUUACGUAUAUGUAAUUUGGAGACCAUAACCCUAAUAUAUAACUUUUGCACAUUAACCCUAAUUUCUAAUCAGCCCAUCAUCAAUUAGAAAUUAAUUAUUAGAGUCUUUACACAUAUUUAACUCAUACUUUAUUUAAUAAUUAAAGUCCAAUAAACCUUAACCAAAUUAGAUCACUUUUAAUUUGGGCUAACCUUUUAUGAUAGUAAAUGACAAUAUGUAAUUACUAUUGUUAUACAUGUGAUGUCCAUAUUUUCCAACAACCUCUCACUAGGACCACAUAUAUAUACUAAUUACUCUAUAAUUACAUGUCAUUAUAUAAUUUUAUGAGCUCCAAACUUUACUAUCAUAUCCAAAAAAGUAUUUUGAACAACAUUGUCCAUUAAUUAUGUUAACAUAGAACCAAUGUGAAUUUCGUUACAUAUAUCGUAACUAAAUCCAUCCCUGAUCACGUAUAUUAACACAACCAAGUAGCAUGGAAAUUACAUGCAAUAUGAUCAAAAUAUGCCUAUUUCCAACUGGUCCUCCUUAACCUUUGUCAGAUCAAACUUUACCAAAAUCAAAGUGUAAAUAAACCAAAUAAAUUUUAUUUCUGCAGAAAAUAAACUUAAUAUUUAUAAACUGAAAUAAUUGAAAAUGUAUCUAUAACAUAAAAACAUUUAAAAAUACAAAGUCCCACUAGAACCAAAUAUCCUUAAAUGAUAUUACACCUAUAUAAGUAGUGUGCUCAUGAAAAACCUUGGGUGGUAGCCCCUUAGUAAACGGAUCCGUAAUCAUGGAGCUUGUGCUAGUAUGCUUUAUAGACACCUGAUCACUCUGAACUCUUACUUUAACAACCAAGAAUUUAAAGUCUAUGUUUUUUAACUUUGAUGUGCUCCUAUUUUUAUUGGAAUAAAAGACUGUAAUUUGUUUUCACAAUUUGCACCUUAGUGAUAAAAUAUUGUAUCCAUAUUCCAUCAAAAUCAGAGUUUGUAUACCUGAUAUCUUUAACUUAUCAGACCUCCGAUAUGUGAGCAUGUAAUCUUUUAUUCUCUGAAGAUACAUCAUAACUCUCUUAGAUGCUAUCCAAUGGUCCAAACUGGGGUUGCUUAAAUAUCUAGCUAACAUCCCAACAAUGUAUGAAAUAUCCGGACGCGUACAUACUUGAGUAAUGAGGAAGAUGUAGCUAGUGCUAAUUUGACUAACGAAAGUGGUGAUGAUUUCUUGUUAGUGUCAACGAGCAAUAUCUCUGAGCUUACGUCUGGGUGGAUCCUAGAUUCGCUAUGUUCUUUCCACAUGUGUCCCAAUAGAGAAUGGUUCUCCAUAUAUAGUUCGGUUGAAGGUGGAUUUGUGCGUAUGGGGAACGAUUCAUCUAGUAAGGUAAUCGGUAUUGGUACUGUUACAAUUAGGAUGCAUGAUGGGACGACUAGGACACUUUCAGAUGUCAGGUAUGUACCUGAUUUACGAAAGAACCUCAUCUCCUUGAGUAUUUUAGACUCGAAAGGUUGCAGAAUCAACAUCGAUUCGAGAAAUAUUAAGGUGUAUCGUGGGGCUCUCGUUUUGUUAAAAGGUAAAAGGAUCAGCCAUCUUUAUAUUCUGGAAGGUUCUAUAGUGACUAGUGAAAUCGGACGUCCCUUGUCUGUUACGAAGUUGAAGUCAACUCGUUUGGAGUGGAGGCAACUUGGUCAUACGAGGGAAAAAUGUAUGACCAUUUCAUUGAAAAGAUGUUCUAUUUUGGAUGCAUGUUUUAAAAAUUUAGGGCACUGUGUUCGUAAAAAUCAGACCUGGGUUAGUUUUGAUUUGGCAGUGCACAAAUAGAAGGCUAGAAGUCUUCCAGCUUUUAAGCACAGAUUCGAUUUAGUUAAUUUCCUGCAUAGUUCAAGAUAGGCCCGUGGCGGGCUUUGGCAAAGAUGGUGUUUGUGGAAAUACAAGUCAAGGUGGAGAUUUUUUGAGUAUGACUUAUAUUUCAGUCAAAUUUGAGAGAUAAUCUCCUAGUUAAACUAUGUUUAUUUGUUUCUGCCAAACUCUAAUUAGUCUAGAUUGUAGAAACCAUUUUUUUUUAAAUGGGGUCGACUUGGAUUUCGAAAAAGUAAAUUGAAAACGAAAAAAAAUGGGAGUCGCCACCAAUCCUUUUUAUUUAGGUGUGAUCGGAUCACCUCAUAAUUUAAUCAUUUUAAUAAAAGUUUAAAUUUAUUAAAACGAUAAUUUUUUGUCUAUAAAAUCCAGAAAAAGGGGUCCAGGAGUCAGUUACAUACGAGGAAGGAUUAGCACCCUCGAUAUGCCCAAAAUUGGUACCUAGUUGAUUACUUAAUGUCUUAAUGUCGAAAGUUAAAAUUUUGAAAAGAUUUUGAAAUAGGAUCCUCUUUUAUUAAUGUUGAUUUUAAAACGCUUGAAUUAAAUCAAAAUGAUUGCUAAAGAUUCUCUCGUCUCGAGAUAUCGGAGUAUCACAUCCCUUAAGUUAGGACACGAUACUUUGAACUCCCGAGCACAAGUUUGUCUUUAAUUUUUAUUGAAAUUUCAUGUAUUUUGAAACUUAAAAGGAUAUUUGGCUAUUUAGGUUUAGCGAGAAAAUCAAAACCCCGUAAGUUAGCGCGCGAUUCCUCGAAUUUCCUAAAACGCGAAAUAUUGCCUUAUUUAGCAAAAUUUCCCUUUUGAAUAAUAACGGGUGCGAUAUUUGAAGGUAAGCAUUUAUCUUGUUUGGAAUAAAAUAAAGCAAUUUAAGUUGGAUAACUAUGUUGGGGUUUAAUUUGCAAUACAAUGAUGUGAAAUAAAAAUAUAAUAAUGGAUAUGGAAUAAUGGUACAUGGAUAAAAUUACACAAAUGUACGACAAUAAUAUGAGAAUACAAGUGAACGAAUUAUGGUACACACAAUGACAACAAUCACUCAACAUACAUUAUUUAAAUCCUAGUAUUAAUAAUCAAAGACGAAUGAAUUAAAUAACAUAUAUAACAAUUUCAAAAUGAGCAGCAUAAAGUAAAUUAAAAUAAAUAAAAUGUAGAACAAUUUUAAAAUGAUAAUAAAUGAGUUUUAAAUAAAUAAUAUGAAAAAUAAAUUUAAAAAUAAACUAUAUACAAAACAGUUUUGAAAUAAACAAUAUAAAUAAUUUCAAAAUAAAUAGCAUAGGAAACAGUUUAAAUUACAUAGUACAUAUAAAUUUAAAAUGGAUAAUGUAUAUACAUAUAUUCGAAAUAAAUAACAUAUAUAAAAACUUAAAAUAAAUAAUAAUAAAUCUAAAAUAGUUCAAAAUAAAAUAAUAUAUAAAAGAAAAUCCUAAAUAACAAAAAAAAAUACAAAAGCAGUUUAGAAAAAAAAACAAUAUAUAUGAAAAAAAAUGGGGCUAAAAGGUCAAGGACGUGAUUGAAAUCAGAAUAAAAUUAAGGGGGCAUAAUUAAAAAUUGCAAAAAAGGAAUAGGGGACUAAUUCGCCACAUGCUGAAAGUAUCAAGGUGCGAAAGAACAAAUGCCUGAAGUCCCUUAUGCUAUGUGUUUCGACAUGGGCCAAAAUGAAAUAAGAAGAAAUUGUGCGGAUAAACUAAAAAGAAAGAAAGUAAAAAAAUGGAUUGAAUUUAAAGCGCAAAAAACGCAGAGGGACUCUCCGCAUAAAUAACCCCCAAAGAUACCAAAAUGCACAGGUUCCCCUGCGAUUCAGGUCGGGUUGCACGAGUUCCCCCCCAAAACGACGACGUUUUGCGUCUGGGGAGGGUUCCCAAAACACUGUCGUUUCAGUGUUACAUAAAAGGGCCAAUUUUUUAAAAAAAAUAAACAGUUUGCUGCAAUAUUAGAGAAAGAAAAAAAAAACUUUUAAAAGCCUUCCCCCUCUGCUAGGGUUUCGGAUCCCUUUGGCGCCGACUUAUGAGCCACCUUGGUGGUUCGCCGCACCACCACUAUGGCCGGUGACUGACGACAAGUGACCACGGGAAGGUGGGUUCCUCCUUCUUCUCCUUCUAAAACCGUUCUGCUUUUGAUAUAUAUUGCUCAUAAAAAUGUUCAUAGAAGAGAAGACCCAUUACAAGCAUCAGAUCAAGGCUUUUAUAGCCGAUUACAGACCAUUAGUUUCUAUUCUUUUGUUUUUUUGCUACUUUUUUCCUCCGUAUUUGUGUUUGUUUGUCCUUCCUGCAGAUACGGAAGAGUCGAGCUGGCGGUACGGAGACCAACGUGGCGCAGUGGUGGUGGUGUGUGGCUAGUGGCGGCUAAGGCAAAUAGUUGCUUUAGGGUUUUUUUGUUGUUUUUAGUGUUGUGGGCUAUAAACUGGGUUUUGGUAUUGGGCUAAUUGGGUUAGGUUAGUGAGUUUUGGGUUAAAAUGAUUUGGGCUAAAAAUUGGGCUUUUAUCAUUAUAUAUUUUAUUUGGUUUUAAUAUUUGUAUAUAGGCCGAGCAAAUUUUGGGUUUGUACAUAGAUUAUUUUAUUGGUAUUUGACCUAUGAAUUUAGCCUAUAAAUAGGCUCUUUUACAACCUUAGAAAAUACACCCAUUAAAGAUUAGAACUCAUAACACUUUUGGAGAAUUUUGUAUUUACGUUUUGAGGGUUCUUUAUUUUCGGGUUUCAAGGUAAGUUUUUUAUCUCUAUAUUUUUUACUCUUCAUUCUUUUGCCAUUAUAGUAAAAUUAUCUUUGCCCAUGGGUUUUUAUCCUCUUUGGAGGGGUUUUCCCACGUUAAAUUUAUGUGUUCAAUUUCUUCAUUUCUUCCACUAUUUUUACUUGUUCGUUGCUUAAUCGGGUCGAUCCCCAACACUUAAUAUAUACUUUACCUUGCACCAAAUCAAUUAAUACAUCCAAAUAAUAUAUUAAUUUAAGCCUCAAGAAUUAAUGGUGUUCAAUCCCACAACAAUUCCCAUAGAUAAACUUCAAUUGAGCCAAAACAAUUCAUGUGGACCAAAGUUAUGUUUGAUGUAAAAAAUAUAAAAAUUACUUUCAUUGAAAUAUUUUUGCAUAUAAUAUCAUCUGAUAUAGUUAUAUAAAAAUUAAAAAUACAGGGACGAAGCUAGAAGUUUAUUUUUGAGUGGUCAAAACUAAAUUAUAAAAAUCUAAAGGAGUCAAAGUACAAUUUUAUCUUUGUACAUGCUUACUAUUUUAGAAUUUUAAAGAGAUUAAACUGAAUUUUUUAAAUCUUUGGUGGGACCAAAGGGUAUUUUUAUCAUUAAACUAACUUAUAAUUUAAAAAACUUUAAGGGGCUAAAAUGAUAAUUUUCUAUUCUAGAGGGUCAGGGCCCUUAACUACACCCUUGGCAUAGUCCCCGCACACAUAUGCAUGUAGAAAUUACAUACUUAGAACAUAGAUGUUAGUUUAAAAAUAACAUACAAUAAAUAAUGAAACGUAUGGGUUAAAAUUACCAAUUGAUAAUAACUCAUUAAAUAUGUACAAUAUUAACAUGAAAAAUAAAUAGAUUAAAUUAAAUUGUGAGUAUAAUAAAAUUUAAACAUGUAAAUACAUCAUAUGAAGAAUACUAACUGCACUAUAGUUGUUUAUCAUGGUGCUGUCAUCAAUCUUGAGUUAAUGCCAAGUUGACUUGUGACACCAACUUAAUCAACGACAUUAUCAAUACUAUAAAUUCUAUCACACGCGUAUAUAUGUGAAAAUCAUGUAUUUAGAACAUAGAUUUGUGUUUAAAUAUAACAUAUAAUAAAUAAUAAAAUAUAACGCAUGAAAUAUGUGUGAUAUGAAAAUAAAAAAUAGAUUAAAUUGUAAGUAAAACGAAAUUUAAACACAUGAAUAUAUCAUAUUAAGAUUACUAAAUGAAUACAAUUAUUUAUCAUUGCAUUGUCAUCAAUUCUAAGUUGGUGUCGAGUUAAUUUGUGGCACCAUCUCAAUCAACAACAUUAGUAUAAUACAAGAAGCUAUAUCACACACAUCAAUAUAUAUACAAUUAAUGGAUGUAAUAAAAUAUGCAUAAUAUAAUUAAAAUGUAAAUAUUUUUAUAAUAAAAAUAAUGUUUUAUUGAUGACAAUAACAUCGGUUUAAAUUCAAUUACAUAUAAUUUUUAUUAAUUUUUUAUUAAAUAAAAAGAUCAAUAUACCUUUAAAUAAGAUAAUUUGUUUUAAUUAUAAAAAUAUAUUUUCGUAAUUUCGUAAUAUUAAAUCAGUAUAAAUUAUGUAUAAUUUACAAAUAAAAAUUAUCGUUGUGCAAUGUUUAAAAAAUGGUUAAAAAUAAUUAAUGCCAUCAAUUCUAAUUUUGAAUAUGAAAUUAAUUAGUGCCGUCACAUAAAUACAUCCCAAUUGUUUUUCCAAAACAGUCUCAGCAUACCUCAAAGGAGAUAUUUCUAAUAAGAGUACGUGACUUUAAUAUUUUUUAUUUUAAAAAAUUAAAUUUAAUAUAAUCAAAGAUGAAAAUGUUGAAAUAAUAUAUUCUUAUUUUAAAAGCUAUGAGCUAUGGUGUUGAAACAAAAAUCGGUUACGUACAUGUUUCUUUCAAGUCGGUUAUUAUGUAGUAAUUAGUAAAUGAGAAAUUGCCUAUUCAUGCAAUUCUCUUAUUAUACUCCACUCAUAUCUGAGACUGGAACUUGCUUAUUCAUGCAAAUCUCUUAUCAUACACUAUCACUCCUUUGAUUAUUUAUUUAAUAAUACCAGAAUAAAAAACUUAUUUCUUAUAAUAGUUACAUAAUUGGUAUAAAUUUAAAUCGAAAAGUAAAAGAAUGAAUAAAAACUCUUUGUAAAAUAAAUAAAUCAUAUGAAUAGCUGAAAAUAAUUGUCGAAACUAUUUUUUGAAUAAUAUAAAAAAACUGGGAUCGACUUUUAAAAAGGGAAAUGGGAGUCGCCAUCGAUCUUUUAUUAAGGUGUGAUCGGUUCACCAUUAAAAAUAAAUUUUAGGUCUACGAGAUUUAAGAAAAUAGGUCCAGGAGUCGGUUACGUACGAAGAAGGGUUAGCACCCUCGUAACGCCUAAAAUUGGUACUGAAUCGAUUGUUUAAUGUCUUAAUGUCGAAAUUUAUAAAAGAUUUUAAAAUAUGAUCCUUUAUCUUGAAUUUGAAUAAACCGCGGUGAAUAAUUAGAUGUACUCAUUUCGAAUAAAGUGCCACACUCAGUGAGUUAGGGUGCGACAAUUCAAUCAUCAAAAUUAAGCAUGUCUUUUUAAUUUUUAUAAUCCGUGUAUUUUGAGAAGGUCAUUUGGUUAUUUAAGUCUAACGAGAAAUCAAAAUCUAGUGAGUUAGGGUUCAAUUUCUCAAAAUUCCUAAACAUCAAACAUUGCCUUUAUUUUAAAAUCGGGAUAACAGAAUGUCACAUUCAGUAAGUUAGGAUCCAACAUUCUGAAAUCCUAGAUGCUUCGUUUUUAAAUUGUACUGUUUUAAUAAAAUAAGCACAUAGCGAUCUAAAUUCAUCGAGAAGAAUUGGAACCCAGUAAGUUAGGGUACAAUUCUCUUAAGAAAUAUAAACACUAGGUUUUUAUUGAAAUAGAAUGAUUGUUGUGCUUUAAAAUAAAACAAUUCUUACAAACGAAUUAUGAUAGAAGAGCGAAACAUAAUGCAAGAGAUAAAUAGCAGCUUAAACUUACACUAAGGAACAAUUAAGCAAGUAAUAGGCAAAUACAAACAAGACUAACACCAACAAUCUUAAUCAUUUUAUGCAAAUAUCAAAAUCAAUAUUCGAAAGCUAAAUAAAUUUAUUACCAAAAAAAAAAUUUAAAAGAUACUUCAAGAUAAAAAGAUCCUAUGUAUAAAAGUUCUAAAAUAUAUUACGUGUCCAAGUUCAGAAUAGAUUUGAAAUAAAAUAACCAUUGAAUAAUUGAAUUUGAAAUAUAUUCGAAGCGAAUUUCAUACAUAUAUUAAUUUAAUAAAAGCAAUACAUAUAAGAUAAAAACAUUACAGUAAUAAUACAUAUAUACAUAAAUAUUGAAGUAUAUAAAGGAUUCAAAGUGAAUUUUUUUCUUUUUAAAAAUAAAAUCAAUUUCAAAUGAACACAUAAGCACAUCAAUAACAUUUUAAUAGGCAUAAUAAGAUCAGAAUAAUGAUAUACCCAAGAAAAGAAUAAUUUAAUAAGUCAUACAUAAGAAUACUAGCAUUAAGAAAAAAUGUUAUCAUGUAAACAUCAAACAUGUAGUCCAUAUAUAAAAAAGGGUGAAUUUUAAGAUAUAAUAUGAAAUAAAACAUUAAGAUACAUACAAGUUAUAUCAAAUUUUCAUUAUAUAUAUAUAUAUAUAUUAACAAAUGAUGAAUUAAAUAAUAAGAUGUUACAUUUGAAAACAAAAGUUUAUAAUGAAUUUCUAAAAAAUAAUGUCUAAUAAAUUUAAAAUAAUAUUAAUUUGAAAUAUUAAAAUGAUACUAAAAAAUAAACUACGUCAAAAUAAAACUAAUUUGAUUUUAAAUUAAGUUAAUAAAAGCUUAGUCGAAAUUGAAAUGAAAUAAAAUAAAAACGAAAUAAAAGAAAAUAAUGGAACAAAAAUUACAUUGAAAUUAAAACAAAAUUUAAUUGGUAGCAAACAUAAAUAAAAGUAAAAGGAAGAUAAAAUUUGUACUGGAUUAAAAACCGAGGGACUAAAACUGCAAAUAAACGCAUAAGUGCAAGGAUUCAAAUCUGAUUGAUAAAACGACGUCGUUUGUCUUUGGAUCGAAAUGAAAAUAAAAUAAAAUGUGUGGUACGAUUUUAAAACCUGAAGGAGAAACGAUUUGAAAUAAAAUCUAAUGCGAAGGGACUUAUUGCGAAUAAACCCAUGAACAGAAGCACGCGGAUCCUACCCCGGGUCGGGUCACCGCGCGGGUUGCAAGCCUCUAAACGGCGUCGUUUAUAACAUUAAAAUCAGCAGAUGUUUUGAUCGUUUUUAACAAAAAAAUUAAAGACCUUAAUGCUUCUUAGAGCCGCUCCGUCCUUCUGUAUCCCCGUCCGAUCUUCGACGAUGACGAAGUGGACAAGGAUUCGGCGCCGCGACAAAGGUAAUAACCUUUAACUCUUCUUCUUCUCAAAUCUGAUUUUUUCUUUUCUUGAUUUUUUCUGUAUUUCAGUGUGCGUAUAUGGAAAAGAGAGCAAGAACAGAACGAGAAAAGAAAAGACUCGAAAAUCACCUCUAAAGGCUCAGUCUUUUUUUGAUUUUUGUAUUGAUAUUAUGCGCAGUACAAUAUGCGUCCUUACAAAUAUUUCGUAAUGGCUUUAUAUAGCCAAAAAGGAAAAAUAAAAAUCCCUCUUUUGUUUUUUUUUUUCUCUCUGCUAUUACGAUUUUGAUUCGCUCCCCUCCUCUCUACUGCGUUUUUUUCCGUGUGUAUUUUCUGCUGUCUCUGCUUUUGUUCGUUUGUUUGUCCUUUGCAGGUACGGCGUGCAGGACUGGUGUGUACGGAGGCGUGUGGCGUGGCUCGGCUCGGAGGCGGCUGAGGCGUGUGAAGGCUCGUGGGGCCAAGGGAAGGCUGGAGGCGCGCUUGUGGGGUGUUGGCGGCGGCUUGGUUUCCAGAGACCUUAGGGUUUCUGUUCUUGGUUUUGGGCUUAGGAGAUUUGGGCCAGGGUUAGGUGUUUUUGGACUGACGUUUAGUGGGCUUGGGUCAAUGGGUUUGGGUUGUAACCGGGCUUAGGGUUGUAUUUUGGGUUAGGGUAGAGUUGGGUAAUUUAAAUGGGCUAUAAUAAUUUUGUUUUGGGUUGAAUUUGUAAAGAAACUGGACAUUUAUUAUUAUUUAUUUUAUAUAUAUAUUAUUUAUUUUGGUUAAUACUUGGGCUCAGGCCGGGCAAAUUUGGGAUUUUACAAUAAUUAAUACUCUUUAUCAACGAAGUUUGUAAUCCUAACGAAAACAAACAAGAAAAAAUUAAAACAAAAGCACAAGUGUGUUGCAAAAUCAUUGAUGUUCCAUGACAGAUAUUCAAAUGCAAAUUUAAUUAGUUCCUCCGUACAAAGGUCGCCAACCUAAUCACCGUGAAAGCAUUAAGUUUGAUUGUACAGGUGGCAACUAGGCCAAUUAUAUUUUGUUUGAUACUUUUAGGUUGGUUUGGAUUAUUUUUUUCUUCGAUUCAUUAUUUGUUUAUAUUAAAUGCUAUCUCCAAGGCUCAACACUACUACCACCUUCAUUGUCAAAGAAAGAUGUAAUUGCUUGUAAUUAUAAGUGUAACAUGUUUGGGUAAUUAUUGUAAUUGGGGGAUCCCAUUUAAUUGGUUGUAAUUAGAGCGCCCAAUUACAUUUUCCAAUUCCAAGAGAGAGGGUGAGAAUUAAAGUAAUUAUGCAUAUACUUUCAACCUAAUUCAUUUAAAAAAAAACUGAUACAAUAUCUAAAAUUAUCAAUAACUCUUCGUCAACUCAAUUAAAAUAUUAAAAUAUUAAAAUCAUAAUAUCCCUAACUCAACUGAUGCCCGAUUGACGUGUAACACCAACUCAAAUAGAAAUUUAUUAUAUAUAUAAGUAAAACUAACCAAAGGUUAGUAUAAAUCAUUGCAACAAACAACCUUUCACAUCUCAAUAACACCAUAAAACAUAAAAUACAAAUACUUAAUAAUCUUUUGAAAGCAUCAAAACAUCGUAAUAAACUUACACCAAAAAAAAUUCUCACAAAUUGUGAAAUGAGACAAUGGUGUGGUCCACUAUUAAUUAGUAGUUAAAACUGUACUUAUAUAAUUCAGAAGACCAUAAGAUAUGAUAUGAUGUGAUAUAUAGAGAGAGAGGAGGGGCUGACAAAUGUCUAGGAUUUCAAAUGAGUAGGGACCUUUAGAGGCUGAAAUCCAUGCUUGAGAGUUGCUUCCCAAACUUUUUCAAUGUUUGACGUGGUGUAACCACAUUCAUGUUCCUCCCAUCCUGCCAGUGCAUGUACUAACCCAGCUAUGCGCCAUAUGCUCAUCACCCUCCUCGGCAACCAGUUCUGAACAAAGUAGAACCAAGCGAUGAAAGAAUGAGCAUCAAUAUCUACAAUGAGUUAAAUGGAGUAUGUAAAUGUUGAUGGCCAAACCUCGCAAGAAUCCACAUUCUCAAAGGCCAACGGAAUUUGCAUUGCCGGUGUGGUAUGAUAGAAGCAGUCUGUUCGCAACUUCUUUGGUGGGAAUUGCGAGAAGGGAAUAAAUAGAGUUCCUUUGCUUGCCUUCCUUUGUUCUACUUCACUCAAUCCAUCUCCAACUAACCAUGUCUGCAACAUAUAUAUUAUUCAUCAUCCAAUAUUAUAUUCAACCUAGUUUUCAUUAAGAAUAGGAUAGGCUUUGUACUUUGAAGUGAUAAUUGAGAACCGGCUUAGGUACCUUACAAGUGUAACUUUUUGAGAGAACCAAUUUACCCUCAGACUUGGUGCCAAGUAAUUUAUCAAGCUUUUCAUAUCCAUCCUCACGCAAUACAGAGACCUACGGUGAUACGUAAAUGAAAAUGAUAGAGAAAAAGUAGUUGGAGGUUUGGAAUUGGAGUUAUCUAAUUAAUAAUGCACGUACGUACUUGAAUGCGCUUUUGGCAUAGCGCAAAGGCAAGCGCACAAGCAACUUUAGUCAGCUUGCCUCUAAGGACUACUUGUGUAGUUCCCUUGGGUAUGCUAUUUAACACAACUGCAACUGCCAAGCUACUCCCAUCUACCAACUUCACUUUAAGCUGGGGAUGCUUUUGCAUGUGCACCCCACCAUACAUGUUCAGCUCUUCACCCUGAUCAUUUAUUUCAUCGUCAUGGUUUUUUUCUGUUAUAUAGAUAUCUAUAUAUGCUUAUGGGGGCAAAAUACUUGCCUGGUUCAUGAGGCCUAGACUCAACACUCUAGCACCUUUUUCCUCUGCCUCUAAUAUGUCUUCUUCAAUCAAGUUAUUGAUGGAUUGUUUUUGCGAUUUCGAGCGGUACUACAAAUGAAAUGAACCCAAUUGCAGCAGAGACUAGUUAUGAUGGAUUAAUGUCUUAAACAAGAAAUAAAAAGUCAUGUUGUUUGAUAUCUAUACCUGUAUGUUGUACUUGGGUAUAGCCCAGGUCUGUAGUAUGAUAUUAUGAAACCGAUUGCUUUCGACAACAAAAGUGGAACAAUAUAUCCAGGUAAGCAUCAUGGAACACAGUGUGACAGGCCAAAGGAGCCACAUGUGCCAAGUUGAUGGUGUGUAUGGUUUAGAGGCGAAAGAGGCAAAUCCAAGGCGGAGAUGAUAAAUAGACUCGGGUGUGGUUAGGUGCGUUAGAUGCACCACAUAGGGUGAUUCUUCUUCCUUCUCAGUGAUUUUUCAUAUAAGCUGUCACUAGAUUUGUCCAUUGUGCCAUAGAUGUAAUCAUAAAAUGGCAUAAACAACGAGUAAUUGGUUCUAAACUGUACGUGGUGCAG
rnacentral:lncRNA from 1 species